rnacentral:rRNA from 1 species
GACGAACGCUGGCGGCGUGCUUAACACAUGCAAGUCGAACGGAAAAGCCUCUUUCGGAGUGUACUGGGGUGGCGAACGGGUGAGUAACGCGGGAGUAGCCUGCACUUGGCGUUGGAAUAACUUCAGAAAACGGGGGCUAAUACCGAAACGGGGCUCCUGCUGCAAUGAGGGGGUUAGAAAGUUUCGGAUGUUGGGGAUGGAGUCGCGGCUUAGCAGCUUGUUGGUGGGGUAGUGGCUUACUCAGGCUUUGACGGGUAGCCGGCCUGAGAGGGUGAGCGGCAACAUUGGGACUGGGAUACGGCCCAGACUCCUACGGGAGGCAGCAGUGGGGAAUAUUGCACAAGGGGUGGAAGCCGGAUGCAGCAACGCCGUGGGCGGGAGGACGGCGUUGGGGUUGGAAUCCGAUUUCGCUCAUGACGAAGCUUUGUGUGACGGUAGUGUGUAAAGAAGCACCGGCUAACUACGUG